rnacentral:lncRNA from 1 species
CUGGUGAAAAUCCACCACACCACACAAAUGUUCCUUUUUUAAGAUGUCCAAAUCUCACUUUGGUAAAUCAAUGGAAUGAAAAAAACUUUUACAUGCCUUUCAUAUAUUGGAGAUCUCACAUCAUGCUCAUUCAAUAAACUUUACACAGUUCUUUUCUUUGUUUAGAUGAGAAUCAAUAUAUCUUCAUCAAUGCUGGCUUGAUACUCCAGAACAGGGAUUUCUGAUUCUGAAUCAAGAACAGGGAAGUUCUUUCAGGCAUGUGUCAGACUUACAGCUUCAGUGGGACCUGAUCCACUUCUAAAUGAUCUGGAUUGUCACAGAAAAAGGACAGAGUAGGCCAGAACCAAGUGAAUUGGAUCUUUAAAGGUUCAGAAAACUUAUGAGGGAGUAAGUGUUUGAAGCAGCUUUGAUGUACCACAAGGUCAAGGAUCCUACCACAGCUUUUGAAUGCAGCAGGGUCCUGUUCUGCAGAAGAUCUACUGUUUAUACAACGUGGAAUCCAUCUCUGAAGCUGAAAAUGGGCAUUCCAGGGAAGAAAUGGGCACCCUGUAGUGGAGAAACAGAGCUGGAAGAUGUUCAGAAGCACAGAUUGCUUCAGAUGUGCCCAAAUGGGUGACAUGUUCUAGUCACUGUUUGAAUUUCUGCUCCUGGAGAUGGUAGUGAUAGUAAAAGGUUCUAAAAUCUUAGAAAAUUCGGAGACUUAGAAAGAAAGUUAGGUUUGCCAAGCCCUGGGAAAAGUAGGCCCUGGGAAAUGUUAGGCCUUGUGCUUGCUAAAGAUCAGGUCAAACUGCAGGUGUGUAGUCAGUACAUGAUAAAUGAUACAAUUGUUAGAUGUGAUUAGAUAUAAUUAUUGUUUAAAAAAUAUGAGGAACAAUGUUAGGGGGCUGGGGGGGAUCACGAGAAAUCCAUGCUUGGGUAAAAACAAUGCAUACAAUGGAACAAUGUAAGUUUAAUAAUUAAUAUGUAAGUUAUAUAAUGAUAGAGUAUAAAAUAUGUUCAACUCAAAACCAAAAUCAGGUCAGAUUUGGGUAUGUGUACCCCUGACACCCAGAGCUCUUCAAUAAAGCACCUUCAUAUAAUCA